GGUUAAGCGACUAAGCGUACACGGUGGAUGCCCGGCAGUCAGAGGCGAUGAAGGACGUGCUAAUCUGCGAAAAGCGUCGGUAAGGUGAUAUGAACCGUUACAGCCGGCGAUGUCCGAAUGGGGAAACCCAGUGCAAUUCGUUGCACUAUCGUUAACUGAAUACAUAGGUUAACGAGGCGAACCGGGGGAACUGAAACAUCUAAGUACCCCGAGGAAAAGAAAUCAACCGAGAUUCCCCCAGUAGCGGCGAGCGAACGGGGAGCAGCCCAGAGUCUGAAUCAGCUUGUGUGUUAGUGGAACGGUCUGGAAAGUCCGACGGUACAGGGUGAUAGUCCCGUACACCAAAAUGCACAGGUUGUGAACUCGAAGAGUAGGGCGGGACACGUGGUAUCCUGUCUGAAUAUGGGGGACCAUCCUCCAAGGCUAAAUACUCCUGACUGACCGAUAGUGAACCAGUACCGUGAGGGAAAGGCGAAAAGAACCCCGGCGAGGGGAGUGAAAAAGAACCUGAAACCGUGUACGUACAAGCAGUGGGAGCACCUUCGGGUGUGACUGCGUACCUUUGUAUAAUGGGUCAGCGACUUAUAUUCUGUAGCAAGGUUAACCGUAUAGGGGAGCCGCAGGGAAACCGAGUCUUAACUGGGCGUUAAGUUGCAGGGUAUAGACCCGAAACCCGGUGAUCUAGCCAUGGGCAGGUUGAAGGUUGGGUAACACUAACUGGAGGACCGAACCGACUAAUGUUGAAAAAUUAGCGGAUGACUUGUGGCUGGGGGUGAAAGGCCAAUCAAACCGGGAGAUAGCUGGUUCUCCCCGAAAGCUAUUUAGGUAGCGCCUCGUGAACUCAUCUUCGGGGGUAGAGCACUGUUUCGGCUAGGGGGUCAUCCCGACUUACCAACCCGAUGCAAACUACGAAUACCGAAGAAUGUUAUCACGGGAGACACACGGCGGGUGCUAACGUCCGUCGUGAAGAGGGAAACAACCCAGACCGCCAGCUAAGGUCCCAAAGUCAUGGUUAAGUGGGAAACGAUGUGGGAAGGCACAGACAGCCAGGAUGUUGGCUUAGAAGCAGCCAUCAUUUAAAGAAAGCGUAAUAGCUCACUGGUCGAGUCGGCCUGCGCGGAAGAUGUAACGGGGCUAAACCAUGCACCGAAGCUGCGGCAGCGACACUAUGUGUUGUUGGGUAGGGGAGCGUUCUGUAAGCCUGCGAAGGUGACCUGUGAGGGUUGCUGGAGGUAUCAGAAGUGCGAAUGCUGACAUAAGUAACGAUAAAGCGGGUGAAAAGCCCGCUCGCCGGAAGACCAAGGGUUCCUGUCCAACGUUAAUCGGGGCAGGGUGAGUCGACCCCUAAGGCGAGGCCGAAAGGCGUAGUCGAUGGGAAACAGGUUAAUAUUCCUGUACUUGGUGUUACUGCGAAGGGGGACGGAGAAGGCUAUGUUAGCCGGGCGACGGUUGUCCCGGUUUAAGCAUGUAGGCUGAUUAUCCAGGCAAAUCCGGAUAAUCAAGGCUGAGGUGUGAUGACGAGGCACUACGGUGCUGAAGUAACAAAUGCCCUGCUUCCAGGAAAAGCCUCUAAGCAUCAGGUAACAUUAAAUCGUACCCCAAACCGACACAGGUGGUCAGGUAGAGAAUACCAAGGCGCUUGAGAGAACUCGGGUGAAGGAACUAGGCAAAAUGGUGCCGUAACUUCGGGAGAAGGCACGCUGGUGUGUAGGUGAAGUCCCUGCGGAUGGAGCUGAGACCAGUCGAAGAUACCAGCUGGCUGCAACUGUUUAUUAAAAACACAGCACUGUGCAAACACGAAAGUGGACGUAUACGGUGUGACGCCUGCCCGGUGCCGGAAGGUUAAUUGAUGGGGUUAUCCGUAAGGAGAAGCUCUUGAUCGAAGCCCCGGUAAACGGCGGCCGUAACUAUAACGGUCCUAAGGUAGCGAAAUUCCUUGUCGGGUAAGUUCCGACCUGCACGAAUGGCGUAAUGAUGGCCAGGCUGUCUCCACCCGAGACUCAGUGAAAUUGAACUCGCUGUGAAGAUGCAGUGUACCCGCGGCAAGACGGAAAGACCCCGUGAACCUUUACUAUAGCUUGACACUGAACAUUGAGCCUUGAUGUGUAGGAUAGGUGGGAGGCUUUGAAGCGUGGACGCCAGUCUGCGUGGAGCCAACCUUGAAAUACCACCCUUUAAUGUUUGAUGUUCUAACGUUGGCCCCUGACCGGGGUUGCGGACAGUGUCUGGUGGGUAGUUUGACUGGGGCGGUCUCCUCCCAAAGCGUAACGGAGGAGCACGAAGGUUAGCUAAUCCUGGUCGGACAUCAGGAGGUUAGUGCAAUGGCAUAAGCUAGCUUGACUGCGAGCGUGACGGCGCGAGCAGGUGCGAAAGCAGGUCAUAGUGAUCCGGUGGUUCUGAAUGGAAGGGCCAUCGCUCAACGGAUAAAAGGUACUCCGGGGAUAACAGGCUGAUACCGCCCAAGAGUUCAUAUCGACGGCGGUGUUUGGCACCUCGAUGUCGGCUCAUCACAUCCUGGGGCUGAAGUAGGUCCCAAGGGUAUGGCUGUUCGCCAUUUAAAGUGGUACGCGAGCUGGGUUUAGAACGUCGUGAGACAGUUCGGUCCCUAUCUGCCGUGGGCGCUGGAGAAUUGAGGGGGCUGCUCCUAGUACGAGAGGACCGGAGUGGACGCAUCACUGGUGUUCGGGUUGUCAUGCCAAUGGCACUGCCCGGUAGCUAAAUGCGGAAGAGAUAAGUGCUGAAAGCAUCUAAGCACGAAACUUGCCCCGAGAUGAGUUCUCCCUGAGACUUUAAGUCUCCUGAAGGAACGUUAAAGACGAUGACGUUGAUAGGCCGGGUGUGUAAGCGCAGCGAUGCGUUGAGCUAACCGGUACUAAUGAACCGUGAGGCUUAACCUU
rnacentral:rRNA from 1 species